GUAGGUAUAGUUUUAAUAAAAAUAUUAGAUUGUGAUUCUAAAGACAGAGGUUAAAACCCCCUUACCCACC
rnacentral:tRNA from 1 species